UAGUGGUCGGAAGAUGGCGUUGAGUAAGUUCGAUUCGGAGACUGCUGCAGUGCACUGGAAAAAUCGUGUUUAAUCUCCGUUUUAGAAAAUGAAAGAUUUGGGGAUGACAAACCUGCUUCAGGAGUGGGACUUCCCACAUUUAGUUCCAAUCUUUAGAGUUAAAUGUUGCAGAAGAUGAGCACGAAGAAGACACCUACUGGAUGCAAUAUUACUCAUCACCUGACAACAUUGUUGUUAAUGUGACGAACCUCGGUACCGAGAUAUGAGUUGACUAGAGGAAACCCGCGACCAAGCACAGCAGAAAUUCUUGACAAAUAUCUACAGCUUUUGGGAAUGAUUGAUCAAGACUUUGAUUUAACAAUUGAUGCAGCUCCUGGUGCCCUUUUCACAAUGUGGCCAAAGUUGUACAGGCAGACUUUGGAAUUUGCGGAGAAGAUUAAUCCAGGGUAUAGCAAGAUCCUAGGGGCUGGAGUGGACCAGAAAAUGACGCAGAGUCAACAUUGAAGAAAAUUUAGCUUUCAGUGUACUUCCUGUGAUUUUGAUCGGCAGAACGCAAGGGGAGAGAGGCAAAUGUGCAGUACUUCAAAGUCUUGAAUCUUUCAUCAAUCUCCAAUUAGAAGGAGCAUGAAGAAAAAGAAGAUGAACAGGCAUUGACAAUGGCGCGUUCCAUACCUGGGAGUGACUGCACAGUGGCGCCCUUGGACCUAAUUUCAACCUGACAUCAAGUUGGUUUAAUAAAAGGAGAACCAUGAGAGAAAUUAUUAAAUGAAAGUUUGGCGAAAAUCAAAGAAUAACAGAGUUAUGAGGCUUCAAAGUUUUAAAUUUGUAACGUGACAUGCGAGCAGCUCCCAAUAUGUCAAUCAUGUAAUAUAAGUUCCAUAAAUUGCCAUUUUUUAAUGGUUUUCAUGAUAAUUAAUUGGGUUUUUAUCAGAAGCUUGUGUGAAAUAAUGUUUCUGAUAACUCUGAAUCCACAGGUAAAAUCAUUUUCCAAUUUCCCUAGAAAAAGCACUGGUAUAAAAUUUAUAUCACAUGAAAUGUGGGGAGCUGCUCGCAUGUGAAGUCACAAAUUUGAAACUUUAAAUCUUCAUAACUCUUUUAUUCUUUGGUGGAUUAUUUUUCACCAACUAACAUGCAAUGUCACAAUGAACCUUGCCUUUAAACCUUAUAUUGGCAGCCUUACAUUGACAUUUACAUC